UAUGGUGAGGUAUUGACCCCAACACGUAUUUACAGUGAAACCUGUAGGAACUUCGAAUCGGCAAUACGAAACAGAGUGAGAAUCCAGAGUAAGUGUUUGUCCUUCAACCCAUUCCCUUUGUACUAGAUGAACGAAAGACUCUCCAGAUGCUCAGAUCUGAGAGAUAAGUGUGUGUGAAAGCCGACCUUCACCUAGCUUGUUGGGAACACCAAGUUUCUUUUCAGUUGGAAAUUUCUCUACUGUCAUUUAUAUGGGAUGUACUAGCUCCAGCUUGGAUUUACAGUGAAAACUGCAUGAACUUCAAAGCGGCACUAGGAAACAGACUCAGAAAGCAGAG